GCUUGUCUCAAAGAUUAAGCCAUGCACGUGUCAGUACAAUCCCUAGCAUGGAAAAACUGCGGAUGGCUCAUUAGAUCAGUUAUGGUUCCUUAGAACGUACAUCCCAAGUGGAUAACCCUGGCAAUUCUAGAGCUAAUACAUGCACCGAAGCUCCGACCGCAAGGGACGAGCGCAGUUAUUGGACCGAACGCACCCCGGCGUCAAACCCGGGGCUGUUGAGGUGACUCUGGAUAACCAUGCGGAUCGCACGGCCUUUGCGCUGGCGACAAUUCUUUCGAAUGUCUGCCCUAUCAGAGUCGAUGGUAGUCGAGAAGGACUACCAUGCUGACAACGGGUAACGGGGAAUCAGGGUUUGAUUCCGGAGAGGGAGCCUGAGAAACGGCCACCACAUCCAAGGAAGGCAGCAGG
rnacentral:rRNA from 1 species